CAGGAAGCCGCCGGACCGAGUGGGCUCAGUGCAGACCUGAUUGGCAGGCUGGUGGGCGGGGCUUUCUCUUUUGCGGAGCCAGUCAGGAGUCUGCCUUGGGACAAGGCCCACAGACCCAGACCACGUGCAUCGCUGCCAAGUGGUGAGAGCUACCGGAGCAACGGAACAGUAGGGGCUUUGUAAAAGAAUGCACACGGUGCAAAUAGGUCAGCUAAAGGCUAACAAAGUAACCAGUGACAAAGACACUAAAGAUGCACCUUCAAGCCAGUGUUUGCUGCUCUUCUCCCGGAGCCACUCCCAGCCCCUCUUGGGUCUGCUUCUGGAGGAUGUCUCUUUCCUGCUUGUGUUAUGACCCACAGGUUGUGAAUCGAUGAUCUAGGGCUUUCAGUUUCAGAGGGUAAGAAUCCAUGACCAUCACGAUGGGUAGAAUGACAGCAGGCAGACAGG
rnacentral:lncRNA from 1 species